UCAUCGGUUUUUCUCAAAACCACAUAUUUAAGAGCUGCAACAAAAU
rfam:Picea glauca, whole genome shotgun sequence.